CGGUUAUACAAAAAUUAAAUUAAAUUAUUUCAGUGAUAUAAUAAAUAAAAUUAUAAUUAAAUUAAAUAUUAAAUUAUUAGGUAAAAUUUUAAUUUAAUUAAAUUUUUUAAAAAAUUAUGAUUUAAUAAAUUUAACAAUAAACUAGGAUUAGAUACCCUAUUAUUAAAAAUUUAAAUUGUAAAUACUAAAAUAGUAGAUAAUAAAUAUUGAAACUUAAAUAAUAUGGCGGUAUUUUAGUUCAUUUAGAGGAAUCUGUCUAAUAAUUGAUAAUCCACGAAUAAAUUUACUUAAUUUAAAAUUUUAUAUAUCGUUGUUAUAAAAAUAUUUUUUAGUAAAAAUAAUAUUUAAAAAUUAAUAUAAAAAAUUAAUUCAGAUCAAGAUGUAGAAUAUAAUUAAGAAUAUGAUGGAUUACAAUAAAAUAAUUUAUAUGAAUAAUUAAAUUGUAAAAUUAAUUUGAAGGUGGAUUUAAAUGUAAUUUUAAUUAAUUUAUUAAAAUGAUUAAAAAUUAAAAUAUGUACAUAUUGCCCGUCACUUUCAUUUUAAAAUUGAAAUAAGUCG
rnacentral:rRNA from 1 species